AGUUUGAUCAUGGCUCAGGAUGAACGCUAGCGGCAGGCUUAACACAUGCAAGUCGAGGGGUAUAAGUCUUCGGAUUUAGAGACCGGCGCACGGGUGCGUAACGCGUAUGCAAUCUACCUUUCACAAAGGAAUAGCCCAGAGAAAUUUGGAUUAAUGCCUUAUAGUAUAACGAGUUCGCAUGGAUUUGUUAUUAAAGAUUUAUCGGUGAAAGAUGAGCAUGCGUCCCAUUAGCUAGUUGGUAAGGUAACGGCUUACCAAGGCUACGAUGGGUAGGGGUCCUGAGAGGGAGAUCCCCCACACUGGUACUGAGACACGGACCAGACUCCUACGGGAGGCAGCAGUGAGGAAUAUUGGUCAAUGGGCGCAAGCCUGAACCAGCCAUGCCGCGUGCAGGAUGACGGUCCUAUGGAUUGUAAACUGCUUUUAUACAGGAAGAAACACUCGGACGUGUCCGAGCUUGACGGUACUGUAGGAAUAAGGAUCGGCUAACUCCGUGCCAGCAGCCGCGGUAAUACGGAGGAUCCAAGCGUUAUCCGGAAUCAUUGGGUUUAAAGGGUCCGUAGGCGGCUUAAUAAGUCAGUGGUGAAAGCCCUACGCUUAACGUAGGAACGGCCAUUGAUACUGUUAGGCUUGAAUUAUUAGGAAGUAACUAGAAUAUGUAGUGUAGCGGUGAAAUGCUUAGAGAUUACAUGGAAUACCAAUUGCGAAGGCAGGUUACUACUAAUGGAUUGACGCUGAUGGACGAAAGCGUGGGUAGCGAACAGGAUUAGAUACCCUGGUAGUCCACGCCGUAAACGAUGGAUACUAGCUGUUGGAAGCAAUUUCAGUGGCUAAGCGAAAGUGAUAAGUAUCCCACCUGGGGAGUACGUUCGCA
rnacentral:rRNA from 1 species